ACGCUCGACACCUACGGCAGGCAGCAGUAGGGAAUCUUCCACAAUGGGCGCAAGCCUGAUGGAGCAACACCGCGUGAGUGAAGAAGGGUUUCGGCUCGUAAAGCUCUGUUGUUGGAGAAGAACGUGCGUGAGAGUAACUGUUCACGCAGUGACGGUAUCCAACCAGAAAGUCACGGCUAACUACGUGUCAGCAGCCGCGGUAAUCUGAGCGGGCUGGCAAGGC
rnacentral:rRNA from 1 species